ACAAAGGAUUGAUACACCUAUGGAGGAAUUAGAGCAUGAAACACAAGUAGUUGUGGAAGAGCCACCUACUAAAGUAGAACAAGACCAACGUAGGUCAAGCAGGAUACAUCACCUACCUGAGAGAUAUGGAUAUCUCAUAACUGAUCAAGGUGAUGUAUUGCUCAUGGAUCAAGAUGGGCAUGUGACCUACCAAGAGGCCAUAACU
rnacentral:lncRNA from 1 species